rnacentral:tRNA from 1 species
GCCCCUGUAGCUCAACUGGUAGAGCAGUAGCCUUUUAAGCUAUUGGUUCCGCGUUCGAGUCGCGGUGGGGGCACCA